AGAAACAAAUGAGGUCAAUAGCUUCUUGUUUUAGGAAGGGGGGUAGCGGGGACAUUGGAGUAAGAGGAAGUCCUAUGUCAGAGGGCUCUACACACACUUUCCUGAAAUACGUCGGCUAUGUGUAAAUGUAAUCUGUUAUUUUAACUAUUCAUAAUAGCUGUGUUUUGUCCUUUCUCCCAUUAAAUUAUAAAAUUUAUGAUAUAAAUAUGGUGAAUCUUUAUUUUUCAAAGAUUCCUCCCUACGUCUGUAAUAGAUUGCAUUUUAUUCUUUCCAAAGGUCUCAAAAACUACGGGAUUAUUGUUAAAAAAAAAAUGCGUUUUGGAAGACUACUGACCAGUAGCCAGAAGGAAGGUCCUGAGUCAUUGAAGUGUUCUCCAGCUGGCAAAGGAGUAUGAAAACCCCCUGGCCAGAUGUGUCCUUGCUGGAGCAUCGAGAAUAGAGUACGAUUACGAUACCAAAAUCUACAAAAUGUGAAAGAGUAAAGGAAAACUAUCAGGUAGUCCAGGAUGGUUGGUCGAUUGGUGCACUCCUGUAUCCUUGCGCAAUGCACGUACUCACCAGGUACUUCCAUAAGAAGACUAAAUCACUACUUCGACCUAUGAUGCCAUUUUCCGAGUCCACAGUCUUUAUCUGCAGUUCUGAAAAACAAAGUUUAUUUUAUGAUUAGUGCCAAACCUUAUUUGGCAGCAAAACCUGACCUGAACUGGCAUGAAGCUAUUUAUGUUAUGUUUUACUCCAGAAAUGUUACAGUAUAUGCUUGCGGAAGGCUGCCCUAGGCUCUGUCAGGGGUGUUGCAUAUUAAAUGUUAUAUAUUUUUUUACUUUUCUAAAACCAACAUGAAGAGCGUUGGUUCUGAAACACUGGUGGCCCAAGUGCUUUGGAUCGAGACCAGUGGAGCUGCACUGUCGCCUGAUUGCUAGUCUGUGUCCCCACCAGAGUGUGAGGCCUCGGUUCCUUAUACCUGCCUGGUGUCUAGUGGGUCCCAACAAAUAUAAAUAAAAAAGUCCGUGAAUAUUUGCUCUCAAUUUAACGUAUUUAAAUUUAUCGACUUUCUUCUAUUCAUAUUUUUUAAAUGUUAACUACUUUGAGAAAGAAGAGUUA